rnacentral:rRNA from 1 species
AUUGAACGCUGGCGGCAGGCCUAACACAUGCAAGUCGAGCGGAUGAAGGGAGCUUGCUCCUGGAUUCAGCGGCGGACGGGUGAGUAAUGCCUAGGAAUCUGCCUGGUAGUGGGGGAUAACGUCCGGAAACGGGCGCUAAUACCGCAUACGUCCUGAGGGAGAAAGUGGGGGAUCUUCGGACCUCACGCUAUCAGAUGAGCCUAGGUCGGAUUAGCUAGUUGGUGGGGUAAAGGCCUACCAAGGCGACGAUCCGUAACUGGUCUGAGAGGAUGAUCAGUCACACUGGAACUGAGACACGGUCCAGACUCCUACGGGAGGCAGCAGUGGGGAAUAUUGGACAAAGGGCGAAAGCCUGAUCCAGCCAUGCCGCGUGUGUGAAGAAGGUCUUCGGAUUGUAAAGCACUUUAAGUUGGGAGGAAGGGCAGUAAGUUAAUACCUUGCUGUUUUGACGUUACCAACAGAAUAAGCACCGACUAACUUCGUG